UACGUAGGGUGCAAGCGUUAAUCGGAAUUACUGGGCGUAAAGCGCGCGUAGGCGGCUUUUGUAAGUCGGGGUGUGAAAGCCCUGGGCUCAACCUAGGAAGUGCACUCGAAACUUCGAAGCUGGAGUUCUGGAGAGGAAGGCGGAAUUCUCGGUGUAGAGGUGAAAUUCGUAGAUAUCGAGAGGAACACCGGUGGCGAAGGCGGCCUUCUGGGACAGUGACUGACGCUGAGACGCGAAAGCGUGGGGAGCAAACAGG
rnacentral:rRNA from 1 species